rnacentral:lncRNA from 1 species
CAGUUUUGACUCACUCUGUGUGCAAUAAUAGUGUUUAACAUGAUUUUUUUAAACGACUACCCCAUCUCUGUACCCCACAUACAAUUCUCUGUAAGGUCACGCAGUUGAGCAGUGAAUUUUAAGCACAGAUUCAAGCACAAAGAUCAGGGAGGUUUUCGAUUGGUUCACAAAGAAGGGCACCUAUUGGUAGAUGGGGGGGAUAACUGAGGAUGAAUCAUAAACAUGUUAGUUACUCUACAAUACUAACAUAAAUUACAGAGUGAAAAGGAAGCAUCCUGUUUGCAAUAAGGCACAAAAGUAAUACUAUAAAAAAAAUGGGUCAAAGAAAUGUACUUUUUGUCCUGAAUACAAAGCGUUAUGUUUGGGGCUAAUCCAACACGUUACUGAAUACCACACUUCAUAAUUUCAAGCAUGGUGGUGGCUGCAUCAUGUUAUGGGUAUCCUUGUCAUCGGCAAGGGAGUUUUUGGGGGGGGAUAAAAAGAAACAGAAUAGACAAACUCACCUUACAAUAGGACAAUUACCUAAAACACAAGGCCAAAUAUACACUGGAGUUGUUUACCAAGACGGCAUUGAAUGUUCCUGAGUGGCCUAGUUAGAGUUUUGACUUAAAUUGACUUGAAAAUCUAUGGCAAGACUUGUAAAUGGCUGUCUAACAAUGACCAACAAUCAACUUGACAGAGCUUGAAGAAUGUUAAAAGAAAUAAAUGGCAAAUAUUGUACAAUCUAGGUGUGCAAGGCUCUAAGAGACUUACCCAGAAAGACUCACAGCGAUAACCGCUACCAAAUGUGAUUCUAACCUGUAAUGACUCAGGGGGGUUUAAUACCCAUCUAACCAAUAUAUACAUUAUUAGUGUUUUAUUUUCCAUAAAAACAUUUUUUUCUUCCACUGACAUUAGUAUUUUGUGUAGACAGUUGACAAAAAAAUACAAUUAAAUCCAUUUUAAUUCCACUUUGUAACACAACAAAAUGUGGAAAAAGUCAAGGGGUGUGAAAACUUUCUGAAGGCCCUGUAUGCAUUAAUUAAAGCAGCAAUUUUAAAAUCAAAUGAUACAUUUGACUUUGUUUUUACCAAUCUAACUACAUAACGACAUAAUGGUAAUAAUGUUUUUUUAAAGGUAAAUCUCUUGAUAAACUGGGUAAAUUAAGAUGGCAUAGGCCUAUUCACAAUACAGGUGAAUGCAGUUAUUGAGUUGUUUUAGCUGAUCAGCGGAGUCUAUGGUGCUACAGAUGACAAACAAUCUGUUUGCCUUCCAUUUGGGGACUUAUAUUAGCCUACUGAUCAACACUUUUUUUUGUUGCAUAGAAGCAUCACUCUUGCGUGUCACACUUGUAUGGAAGGACAUCAUAUAGGCUCUGUUGUUAGUUUGAGAAUAAAAAUAUAUAUAUUCGAUGCAAAUGGGUCCAACAUAACAUCAUGAUUUGUGAUAAUUUAUGAAACAAGUAUUUUUUGUCAUUUUCUGUGAUUGGGAGAUGUUUUUUUUUUUUUUUGCUGUCAGGACUCAUCUCUAAUCAAUUUGGUUGCCAGGACAAAUUCGAAACAACUCAAUUGGGCAAGGAAGUGUUCAGGAAAGAUCAUCGCAGACCCAUUCCACCCUGGUCACCACCUCCUCCAAAAAUUUGCCUCUGGCAGGGCGGUUCAGGUCACUCAUGAUCAAAACCUCCCGCCACCUGAAAAGUAUCUUCCCCCGGCUGUGGCCCUCACCAACCGGCCUAUAUAGACUAAAGGACUAUGCACUUUAUGCUGAACACUGCAUCAAGCCAUCUGUGAACUGCACACAAAAUAACUGCCCUACACUGCAUUGCACUCUGUCCAUCUCGCUGCAUUUAGAUAUACUGUAUUCUUACUGAUAUUGUAAAUGUGUACAUCCACUGUAUAUCAACCGUAUACCCACGGUACAUUUGUAUAUCUGCUCAUUCUCUUAUAGCUCUAUGCUCACUCUACCUAGUAUGUAAUGCAUGUCAACUUUGUUUAAACUCAGCUGUCUGUAUGUCUCUAAAUGUUGUUUAUCAGUAGCAGCACCAUAUCACCAAGAACAAUUCUGAGUAUGUAUAAAUGUAUUGUACUUGGCUAAUAAAGGCGAUUAUGAUGACUCAAAUCUUCCAAUAGUUUAAGUGGGAACGGACACACACACACACGGUGAUCUACAGCGUUCUUGGUCCAUAAACAUGCAGGAAGAUUCUUACUAUGCUAAAGCUAUUGCCAACCUUUAUUUAGGCAUUUUAAAACACUUCUUUCCCUAUUACGACAAUCAUUUAAUCCGACUAUCAAUGUACGGGUACGACUGCGGCUGGUCAGAUCAGCACACCAGUAAAUAGCUAAUGUUACAGCGCAAAUCAGAUGGCUCGUUGCUGAAAAUGGUGCAUGUUCAAAAUGAUAACCAGCUAAUGUUAGCUAGCUACGUUGGCUAAAUAGCUCCUAUCGAAUAUCAUAGCACCAUGUUUAUCUAGCAGGCUAGCUAGCAUAGUAGUUCAUGUAGCUAGCAAGCUAACACCACAUAUGAAUGGGUUAGUUAUCGUAAUAUUUGGUGACAGGUCACAUAGCUUGCUUAUUGCAUGCAUGUCCGGUGCACGUCGACUCAAGCCUUAUUUGCAACAUUAGUUCGAUUUUGGUCACUGUGUCAAUUAAUCCGUUUCUCAAUACUGCACCUUGCUGUUGGAGAAUGAGCUAUCUUGCUGCUGAUUUUCCCAACUAGACAUUCCUCGGCAUUGUCCAGUGUCCGUGGCUCAGGCGGUGAGUGUUGGCUGGCGUAGCAGCAGUUUUGCUAUGUACAGUAGUCGAUAGACUAGAAAAGAUUAUCGGUCGUUCAUAUAGAUAUUCCACUAUACUCAGUGAUUGUGUCUUUGCUGACACCACCAGGUGAAGAAAAUUACUCGAACAUAACUGUUGUAAUUACUUCAUUACAAAAAAAGGGAGAUUGUAGCUAGUAAAUUAAGGAUGGCAAAAACACUUAAAAAGAACAUUUGGUUUGAGAGCCUGUCAAAUAUAGGUUUGGUCUUCCUCAGGUCUACAAAGAGAUGCUUCAGAACCAAUCGUUUGUGGGCUGUAUCAACCCCCAGUGCUCUGCUCAACACCACCAAAUGUAGGUCAGAACCACAUACCUUAAUGUACACGGCACAUUCGUUGUACAGAGUUGCAUGUAGAAGUGCUUUAAUAAUGAUAUUUCUCUGCUAUAUAAAUGCAUGUUAGAAGUAUUAAUAUGAGGUUCCUCAAGGUUCUGAAUAUUUAGCUUUUUUUCUUUUUCAGCCAGGAGCUAUUCUUCCCCCAAAUAUUAUACGACUUCGGCAACUUGUGGUUUUCUGAAGGAAAUCUUGCUGGUUUGCCAUUGCUGCUUGACAACUACACCCCUCCUAUGGAGGGUCUGCCCAUGUUCAUCCUACAUUUGGCUACUGGGGUGUGAACUGUGAACUAUUCUUAUCCAUGACCAUGUCCUAUCAAUAUCUGAUCAAUAUGUAUCAAUAAGUUCUUCUAGACUAGAGUGACUAAUUGGAAGGUUUGUGUUAUGUUGCGUACUUGAACUGGGACAAUCACAAGGAUUGCUUCAGAGACUUCAGCAAGGAGUGCAUCCUGUUCUAUUCCAUCAGGAAACAGUAAGUCCUGGAGGUGGAGGUAGGAGAGGGUUGGUAUUUCACAUGCACCAUCUUGGGUUGUGUUCAUUCGGCACCAAACAGAAGAAAACGGACUGACAUGGAAGGACUACUGGACUUUGCCAAUAACAAACUAUCAUUUUUGUUUUCUUUUGCAUGCCUAAUAAAUACAACCCUGUUGAGUGAUUAGGAUGGGCCUUGCACUUGUCAAUCUAAGAUAAGUGGGCAGUUGAUGGCAUCUAGAUUACAUUUAGUAGGUACCAAGAAAGGAUUCAG